AUGAUUUCUCUCUUUCUAAUUGAAAUAGCGGUAAGGUUGUUGAUGUCCGACAAUGUUGUAUUUCCUGAUGUUUUUUGCCACGUUAGCGCCAGGAUUUAGGUCACGAGAAGCUGUGGUUCCCUCUGCUCCCUCCUGUUUGCUAAACGAAAUGUCUUACAACUAGUUAACCAUAUUAGCUGUUUCUACUAAAUAUUUACACUAACUAAACUGCUGGUGCAAUAGUUUUGGUAUAGCUGAUUGAACCAAGUGACAAAGCUAAUGUUAUAAUAUUCAGCAUAUAAGAUCUGUUCAGGUUUAAGAGUAAAAAAGUUUGUGUUAAAUUCUACACAUCUGAAAUGUGCGAUAAAUGUAAACUUUGGAGAUAUGAAAUCGCACGGCAGAAAAAUACUUAUAUGCAGAUGACUUCAUGACUUUUAUCUGCCAAUUGUGCUAAACUGCAUGAAUACUAAACUGGCUAAAUGUAAUAAACUAAUUCAGGAACAUCUACAUUACAUAAUAGCAAGCAAAGUCAUACAUUUAUAAACACGCUAAAGAACCAAGAACAAAGAUAAUGAGGAAAGGCUUGGUCAGUUUGGGAAGUAGUUGAGAAAAUUUGCCACCUCUCUCGUGUCUUUUAAGUCGGUUAAAGCAAAAGCAAAACUGGCACUGUCGAAAAGGUAAGAAAAUCUUAUAUAAUAUCUAAACUUCACUAUACUCCAUAAACUUUAUGUCCCUUUUUAGUUUGUACAUAAAAUGUCUGUAAAAGGGACAAUUUGGGUUUUCUUUCUUGCCCCAAAUGAGUUCCUGAGGUCUUGUUUACACUGUAAGGUUGCAGGUUAAUUACACACAAACUUAGGAACGAAUUUACAAACAGCUGGAAGCAACUUUAGCCCAGAGUUGUGACUCUCAUGUAUUGAUAUUACAUUGGAAUCAAAGUUUGUUACGGCUGUUUGGAGGUAUUUCAAAAAACUACAACAUAAGCCAGACUGAAUGAAUGAUCUGUUUGAAAUUGAUUUUACUUUCUAUUUAAAAACUACAUCUGUGUUGUAGGGAGAGUCGUUUUUGUGGUUAUAAUUAAAAUGUCUCUUAGGAUUCUGAAAAUACAUUUUGGGCAUUCAUUUUUUUUGAAGAUCAAGUCUCUGUGACAUAAAUGUAGCCGCUAGCGUGGCAAUAGACGGGUUGGACGAUUUUUUCAAUGUCUUAUAGCCUCCUAACGUAAACCUAACGUAGGCCGGUACCAUUUUCUAAAUGCUCUAUUUUAUUGACACCCUAUCGUUCUGCCCAUGAAUUUAUGGCUUGUUGCUGGAAUGUCAAAUAUUAUUCCAAAGGUUUGAGAAUCUCCCAAAAAACGUUAAGCUGGCAGUCCCACUUGUGGACAGGAGAUAAAGGACACACGAGUACACGUAUAUACAUACGGUACAUAUAUAUGGUAUAUAUAUAUAUAUAUAUAUGUACGGUACGGUAAACAAAUACCAUCUUCCAGAGCAGUGCAGAUUGUCUGACGACCUCAGACUGGGGAAAAGAAAGGUCUGAAAACCGAAAAACGCACCUGAGGCCUUGAAUCCGAUUGCAGGAAAACACUGAACUAACUCCGUCCCUGAGAUUAGGCAGUGAUUUCAGUGUACAGAAUCGGCAGACUCAAUCAACACUGUGUUAAAACAGAACUGGAAGAUUCGACUCAGCGUCCGAUCCCACCUUUUUUCCCCCCUCCCGAUGGUCGUGAUCGUGCAGCCAUGCAAAGGAGAGCCAUGGAAGCAACGGAGCGGCGCGAAAAAGUCCUCACUGUGCAGCGCCGGAGACAACCACGCGCGUCCAUGGGUAUAAAUGAGUGAGGACGCCGGGCUGAACCUGCGACGUCUUCAUUUGGAAUGACAGCGUGGCGUGAGUGAAUGUGUGUGUGUGUGUGUGUGUGCGUGUGUGUCGUUGGAAUGAGGGCGUCGUAAAUUGCCCGAACACUUAUCAUGCGUCGCGGAUCACAGCGGCAGUUCGAGCGGAGCUGAUGUCUCUGGAGUCGCUCCCCCCUCCCCCUCCUCCCCCCCC
ensembl:lncRNA